GACGAACGCUGGCGGCGUGCCUAAUACAUGCAAGUCGAGCGCAGGAAAUCGACGGAACCCUUCGGGGGGAAGUCGACGGAAUGAGCGGCGGACGGGUGAGUAACACGUAAAGAACCUGCCCUCAGGUCUGGGAUAACCACGAGAAAUCGGGGCUAAUACCGGAUGGGUCAUCGGACCGCAUGGUCCGAGGAUGAAAGGCGCUCCGGCGUCGCCUGGGGAUGGCUUUGCGGUGCAUUAGCUAGUUGGUGGGGUAAUGGCCCACCAAGGCGACGAGGCAUAGCCGACCGGAGAGGGUGAUCGGCCACACUGGGACUGAGACACGGCCCAGACUCCUACGGGAGGCAGCAGUAGGGAAUCUUCCACAAUGGACGAAAGUCUGAUGGAGCAACGCCGCGUGAACGAUGAAGGCCUUCGGGUCGUAAAGUUCUGUUGUAAGGGAAGAACAAGUGCCGCAGGCAAUGGCGGCACCUUGACGGUACCUUGCGAGAAAGCCACGGCUAACUACGUGCCAGCCGCCGCCGUAAUAC
rnacentral:rRNA from 1 species